UGAGGAUAAUCUGGCUGUGGUAUCUAUAAUCUCAUUGAUCACUGAGAUUGGUUCAGGUGAUUUAGUAGGCUAGAAAUGUAUCCCCUCCUUCCCUCA
rnacentral:sRNA from 1 species